UCUGGUGGUUUGAGCGGUGUGCCCAGAACCCGAUCCCUUCUCGAACUCGGCCGUUAAACGCACCAGCGCCCAUGGUACUGUGUCUCAAGACACGGGAGAGUCGGUCGCCGCCAGAC
rnacentral:rRNA from 3 species